CCCUGUUAUACUAUCUCAAAAUAAUAAUUCAAAGAACUUACAACAAAAUAAAUUUGACGGUAUUAACUUUUACAAAGGAAUUUGUUUCUUAAUCGACAAUACACGACCCACCUUACUUAAUAUCUAUUUGUAUACCACCGUAAUUGAAACUACUCAAAAUAAGCUUCAUACAAAACCAAAAUUUUUAAAAUCAGGCCAAGGUGCAAUUUUAUUAAGUCGAAAUGAAUUACAUUAAUUCUUAUUUACUUAUAAUAACUGAAACUUUAUUAAAAAUAGAAUUUGUCAGUAAAAUUUUAUCAGAAUGAUUUUUUGAAAAUUACCAUUAAUAUGUACAUAUCGCCCG
rnacentral:rRNA from 3 species